rnacentral:rRNA from 1 species
UACGUAGGGUGCGAGCGUUGUCCGGAAUUAUUGGGCGUAAAGGGCUCGUAGGCGGUUUGUCGCGUCGGGAGUGAAAUCCACUGGCUUAACUGGUGGCUUGCUUUCGAUACGGGCAGACUGGAGGUAUGCAGGGGAGAACGGGAUUCCUGGUGUAGCGGUGAAAUGCGCAGAUAUCAGGAGGAACACCGGUGGCGAAGGCGGUUCUCUGGGCAUUACCUGACGCUGAGGAGCGAAAGUGUGGGGAGCGAACAGG